rnacentral:lncRNA from 1 species
CAAGUGAAGUGGAACAGUGGAAAGUAGGUACCAGAUUUGAAAAGGCUUGGGAGUAGGUAUGCAGUGGGUGGUGCUCAUGUUGUACAGGCAGGGCAGUGGCAAUUCUGGGUCCAUCUUGGUUUGUUUUGUGUGGAAGCGUCUGUACUUCUUAAAGUUUUUCUCAUGCUCUUGGAACCAAACAAAUGUGGGUCUGACUUCUGAUUCCCCCAUCAACUGGCUUUGUGUCUUUGGGCAAAUCCUGUCCUAACCUCAUUUCUUCAUCUGUAAAGUGGGGGUUGUGCCUACCUUGAAGAGUGGUUUUAAGGAUUAGAGAUAACAUAUGCAAAAUCCUCUCUAGGAUAUUAGCAGGCUCUUAGACAGAAACAGCAAUUUUACAAGUUGUUAUUGUCUAUUCUCCGCUGCAAGAAAGGUCCUAUUCUUGUCGGGGACAUGUCCCUUGGGUCACUUCCUUUGAUCUCCCCAGGUUUUCCUCUGAGGGUACCAUCCUCCCCACUCCCUAGGCUAUUUUUCAGAGCUCCAGACUUGCCUCCUGUAUGAAGACCAGCCUGAUCCUUCCAGCAAAUGACCCCCCUAUGAACAUUCUGAGAAGCAGGUUCAACUCUCUUAAGCCACUUAUUGCAUUCUGCAUAGUAGAAUAAGUGUUAGUGUUCACAAUCCACUCUUUCUGUUAGAAAAUAAGCCCUUGGAAGUUUGAGAGCCUUCAAGCCUCUUGCAACCAGCUCUGACACCAGGUGGUGAUCAUACUCCCUGGCAGCAGUUAUCAUCCCAAGUACUAGAGGGCAGAGACUGGGCUUCUUCCUCUCCAGCACUUGGGGUGCCCUGUACAUGUGAAACACUCAACUGACUGACCACGUGAUCCCAGGAGAGCAGUGAGGAUGCUCCUGAUACAGAAGAGCGGAAAAUCCCUUUGGAGCAGAACCAAGGCUUUCCUGUGCCUCACUGAUCCUCUCUGUUCCUGCCAGUCUAACUGACCUGCAAAGCCUUUGCACUAGAGCUCCUCCUGCCAAACCUAUUCCAUGUGUGAGAAACUCUAUUUUCCUAUGGUAUCCUAUACCCUGAUGACCCUUCCCACAUUCUACCUUGUAUUACGAUAAACUUGUAUACAUGUUUUUGUCCUAAUCAGCCUGUAAGCACCUUGACUGCUCUGUCUUCAUGGUUUAAAGAAUAUCUUACAUGUGCACAACCACUUCAUCUGUUGCCUCACUUGACCCUCACAAUGGAGCUGUGAGGGAGGUACUUUCUGCUGGAGACAGACAUGGAGCAGGGAACUGAUUUGCUGUCUCUCAGCAAUAAAGGUUUACUGCAUGAAUAAGGAUGACAAAUGAGAAUUCUGGACUGUCCCCCCCGGCUCCUGAAUAAUCCCAGGCAUUCAAGAAUACUUCUCUUCUGCUAUUACAAUGAAUUACAUGUGGAGCUAUGAGGACUUCGGGCUUGAACAGUUGCCGUAGAGCUCUCCGUCUUGCUGGAAGGGCUUCUUCCAGGCCUUGGUCAGGAGGCUCCCUGGGUGCUACAUACAGGAUUUUUUUUGAGGAUAUGGAGAUGCGCAGGACACGAUCCCAGCAAUCCAGGUGCUUACAGGCUGAUUGUACAGCCAUGCACACAGAGUGCCACGAUGCAAAAUAGGAUGUGGUAAGGGUCAUGCAGUUCAGAGGAGAAAGCAAGUGUGGCUGAUGAACAUCACGGAGCAGUGACCUUCAUGGACAGACAGAAUUUGAGCUGGCCCUUUAACCAAUGAGGAGGAUUCAAACAGAGUUUGUAUUAUCCUGAAAAGAAAUUCCACUAAAGAUGAAUAGCAGAGAACUGUGUUCAGGUAAGCUGAAUUAAUUCCUUUCUCUGGGGAGUUAUAUUAUCACCUUGAUAUAGCUAGUUUCACUUGUUUCUAUUUCAACAUUUGUUUUUAUCCCGUCUUCACUCCUCCCCUUCCCUACUGCCACCACCCUACCUCGAGGCGCAUCCUCUCUCACCUGGACUACUGCAGGAGUUCUGUCUCUUGGCUUUAACUCCAGCCCGUUGAAAAUUCUGAAUGAUUUUUACAAAAUGCAACUCAGAUCCCGUCAUCCCCUGAUUAAAGUCCUUCAGCUUUGUUACCAUGACCUACAAGGCUCUAUAUGAGCCAAGGUCUGACUCUAGCCUCAUUUCCUGCCCUUCUCCCUUGGCACAUUGACCUCUUUUUUGUUCUUCCAAGACCCAAACUUUAACCUC